rnacentral:rRNA from 1 species
AUUGAACGCUGGCGGCAGGCCUAACACAUGCAAGUCGAGCGGAUGAAUGGAGCUUGCUCCUGGAUUCAGCUGCGGACGGGUGAGUAAUGCCUAGGAACCUGCCUGGUAGUGGGGGAUAACGUCGGGAAACGUGCGCUAGUACCGCAUACGUCCUGAGGGAGAAAGUGGGGGAUCUUCGGACCUCACGCUAUCAGAUGAUCCUAGGUCGGAUUAGCUAGUUGGUGGGGUAAAGGCCUACCAAGGCGACGAUCCGUAACUGGUCUGAGAGGAUGAUCAGUCACACUGGAACUGAGACACGGUCCAGACUCCUACGGGAGGCAGCAGUGGGGAAUAUUGGACAGUGGGCGAAAGCCUGAUCCAGCCAUGCCGCGUGUGUGAAGAAGGUCUUCGGAUUGUAAAGCACUUUAAGUUGGGAGGAAGGGCAGUAAGUUAAUACCUUGCUGUUUUGACGUUACCAACAGAAUAAGCACCGGCUAACUUCGUG